rnacentral:rRNA from 1 species
AUGCGAGUCAUUGUAGCAAUACAAGGCAGACGGCUCAGUAACGCGUAGUCAACCUAACCUAUGGACGAGAAUAACCUCGGGAAACUGAGAAUAAUGCUCGAUAGAACACUAUACCUGGAAUGGUUUGUGUUCCAAAUGAUUUAUCGCCGUAGGAUGGGACUGCGGCCUAUCAGUUUGUUGGUGAGGUAAUGGCCCACCAAGACUAUUACAGGUACGGGCUCUGAGAGGAGUAGCCCGGAGAUGGGUACUGAGACACGGACCCAGGCCCUAUGGGGCGCAGCAGGCGAGAAAACUUUGCAAUGUGCGAAAGCACGACAAGGUUAAUCCGAGUGAUUUGUGCUAAACGAAUCAUUUGUUAGUCCUAGAACCACUAACGAAUAAGGGGUGGGCAAGUUCUGGUGUCAGCCGCCGCGGUAAAACCAGCACCUCAAGUGGUCAGGAUGAUUAUUGGGCCUAAAGCAUCCGUAGCCGGCUCUGUAAGUUUUCGGUUAAAUCUGUACGCUUAACGUACAGGCUGCCGGGAAUACUGCAGAGCUAGGGAGUGGGAGAGGUAGACGGUACUCGGUAGGAAGGGGUAAAAUCCUUUGAUCUAUUGAUGACCACCUGUGGCGAAGGCGGUCUACCAGAACACGUCCGACGGUGAGGGAUGAAAGCUGGGGGAGCAAACCGGAUUAGAUACCCGGGUAGUCCCAGCUGUAAACUAUGCAAACUCAGUGAUGCAUUGACUUGUGGUCAAUGCAGUGCUGCAGGGAAGCCGUUAAGUUUGCCGCCUGGGAAGUACGUACGCAAGUAUGAAACUUAAAGGAAUUGGCGGGGGAGCACCACAAGGGGUGAAGCCUGCGGUUCAAUUGGAUUCAACGCCGGAA